CUGUAGUGAACCCACUUCUGAAAAGACCCUUGGACCAGCCACAGUCAGGAAAAGCUCCGACUGUAGUUAAACCACUUCUGAAAAGACACUUGGACCAGCCACAGUCAGGA